rnacentral:tRNA from 1 species
CUUUUAAAGGAAACAAGCCCUCCACUGGCCUUAGGAGCCAUCAUCCU